UACGGGGGGGUAAGCGUUGUUCGGAAUUACUGGGCGUAAAGGGCUCGUAGGCGGCCAACUAAGUCGGAUGUGAAAUCCCCAGGCUUAACCUGGGAACUGCAUCCGAUACUGGAUGGCUUGAAUCCGGGAGAGGGAUGCAGAAUUCCAGGUGUAGCGGUGAAAUGCGUAGAUAUCGUAAGGAAGACCAGUGGCGAAGGCGGCGACCUGGGCCAAUACUGACGCUGAGGUGCGAAAGCGUGGGGAGCAAACAGG
rnacentral:rRNA from 1 species